rnacentral:lncRNA from 1 species
CCCUCUUCAGCUCCAACGCCUUUUUCGACUGUGGCUUGGCCUUCAUAAAAGAAAGCAUCCAAGCUGGAAUAUUUGACAAGAACCCCAAAUAAGGUGAAGGCAGCUCGGGUUUUUUCAGUGGUGGAGUAUAGGCAUUCAUACAAAGUCCAUCAAUUUUCAGGUCAUCCCAUGCAGACCAAAACUUCAGUGGUGGAGUAUAGGCGUUCAUACAAAGUCCAUCAAUUUUCAGGUCAUCCCAUUCAGACCAAAAUCUUGGAUCACUCUCAACAGAAGGUAACACAAUUCUAACAACCUUAGAAUCCUCUAAAACAGCUAAAACUACCUCAGGCCGUUGCUUUAACCCUACAUUAGGUGGUUUAAUUAUAUGCUUAAGUUUCCC